rnacentral:lncRNA from 1 species
AUGCAGCUCCCGAGCAGGCUCCCACGUGCCGAGUGGAACAGUCCACUUCUUCCCCCCUCCCCCCCAUCGGUUAGACGUCGCGUCCUAUCGCGCCAGCGCACGCGUGAGGCGUGUGAUUCUCAGCGAGGCUUGCGUCGGCGGCCGGGUAGCUCCCACAGAGCUAAGGCGGGUAGUGGGGAUCUCGCUGCUGCGCCGCUGCGUUGCAGGUCGAUGGCCGCCGCCGUACGGACCGGAGCCCAACGGCUGCCGGGACAUCGCCAUGCAGCGCCUGGCGUGCAGGCCGCGACGGAUGUGCGCGUGCGCGUGCGCGGCCCGGCUGAGUCAGGGCAGAACAGUGACUUGAGCUGCAAGCCUGGGCACUUGAGUAUAUCAGAAGAGUAA